GGACUACCAGGGUUUCUAAUCCUGUUUGCUCCCCAUGCUUUCGCGCCUCAGCGUCUGUUUCAGCCCAGUAAACCGUCUUCACCACCGGUGUUCUUCCACAUAUCUACGCAUUUCACCGCUACACGUGGAAUUCCGUUUACCCUAACUGUACUCUAGCCGAGAAGUUUCAAAUGCAGCUCUGGAGUUGAGCCCCAGAAUUUCACGUCUGACUUUCUCGGCCGCCUACGCGCCCUUUACGCCCAGUAAUUCCGAUCAAUGCUUGCACCCUCCGUAUUACCGCGGCUGCUGGCAC
rnacentral:rRNA from 1 species